GCUGGGCUGGCUCAGUGGGUAGAGUGUGAGACUUUUGAUCUUGGGGUUGUGAGUUCAAACCCCAUGUUAGGCA
rfam:Felis catus isolate Cinnamon breed Abyssinian chromosome B4, whole genome shotgun sequence.